AAACAUGGACUAAUACCGCAUAUACUCUUGCUACAUAAGUAGAGUAGAGGAAAGGAGCAAUCCGCUUUACGAUGAGCCUGCGGCCUAUUAGCCUGUUGGUGGGGUAACGGCCUACCAAAGCUACGAUAGGUAGCCGACCUGAGAGGGUGACCGGCCACAUUGGGACUGAGAUACGGCCCAGACUCCUACGGGAGGCAGCAGCUGAGAAUCUUCCACAAUGGACGAAAGUCUGAUGGAGCGACAUCGCGUGAGGGAUGAAGGCCUUCGGGUUGUAAACCUCGGAAAUUAUCGAAGAAUGAGUGACAGUAGAUAAUGUAAGCCUCGGCUAACUACGUGCCAGCAGCCGCGGUAAUACGUAGGAGGCAAACGUUGCUCGGAUUUACUGGGCGUAAAGGGUGAGUAGGUGGACUUAUAAGUCUAAGGUGAAAGACCGAAGCUCAACUUCGGAAACGCCUCGGAUACUGUAAGUCUUGGAUAUUGUAGGGGAUGAUGGAAUUCUCGGUGUAGCGGUGGAAUGCGCAGAUAUCGAGAGGAACACCUAUAGCGAAGGCAGUCAUCUGGGCAUUUAUCGACGCUGAAUCACGAAAGCUAGGGGAGCAAACAGGCUUAGAUACCCUGGUAGUCCUAGCCGUAAACGUUGUACACUAGGUGCUUCUAUUUAAAUAGGAGUGCCGUAGCUAACGUCUUAAGUGUACCGCCUGAGGAGUAUGCCCGCAAGGGUGAAACUCAAAGAAAUUGACGGGUCCCCGCACAAGUGGUGGAGCAUGUGGUUUAAUUCGAUGAUACGCGAAAAACCUUACCUGGGUUUGAAUUGUAAGAUGAAUGAUUUAGAGAUAAGUCAGACCGCAAGGACGUUUUACAUAGGUGCUGCAUGCCUGUCGUCAGCUCGUGUCGUGAGAUGUUGGGUUAAGUCCCGCAACGAGCGCAACCCUCACCCUUUGUUGCUACCGAGUAAUGUCGGGCACUCUUAGGGGACUGCCUACGUUCAAGUAGGAGGAAGGUGGGGAUGAUGUCAAGUCCUCAUGGCCCUUAUGUCCAGGGCUACACACGUGCUACAAUGGCAAGUACAAAGAGAAGCAAGACCGCGAGGUGGAGCAAAACUCAAAAAAGUUGCCUCAGUUCGGAUUGGAGUCUGAAACUCGACUCCAUGAAGUUGGAAUCACUAGUAAUCGUAGAUCAGAACGCUACGGUGAAUACGUUCCCGGGGAUUGUACACACCGCCC
rnacentral:rRNA from 1 species